GGGGUCUCCUUCGUCUUCCCUUCCUCGUUCUACUCCUUCCUGGGGUGUCUCCCCCAUCUCCCCUCCUCCCUCUGCUCUUCCUGGGGUCUCCUCCAUCUCCCUCCCCACUCUGCCCCAUCCUGUGGUCUCCUAUUUCCUGUAUCCAAGUCUUCCUCUUUUUUCAUUUACUUUGGCGUUUUAUGCAGAAUAACUUCCAGGACUUCCCAGAGAAAGGGAUCUUGGGGUGAGCAUUUUUGAGGCCGUGGUAUCUAAAAGCAUCUCUACUCCACCUUCAUGGCCAGCAGUCACUUUAGUUUCCCUUCGCCAGCUGGAAGGCCCUGCGCCUGUGCUUAGCUUCCAUCCCACUCCCAGCCUUCUGCCUGUGCCCUGCUUCUCGGUGGAAGCCACAGACUUUCCUGUCGUCCUCGGGGCUCUGGAAUCUGAGGGUUGCCCAGGUGCGCUGAGGGCAGGUGUGCCCGAGGGUCACCCAGGUGCACUGAGAGCAGGUGUGCCUGAGGGUGGCCCAGGUGUGCCUGAGGGUCGCCCAGGUGCACUGAGGGCAGGUGUGCCUGAGGGUCGCCCAGGUGCACCGAGGGCAGGUGUGCUCUUUGUGUCUGCACUGCGCCCCUCUGUUCUGGGAAUUCUGUGACAUCCUUCGUGGCGCUCGCAUUUCCCACAGCUCCACACUUCCAUCUGGUUCUGGAGUUUUCUGUCCUGUUGCCUUAAUUUUCCCCACCCCUGGCUGUGUGCUGUCCUUGUAAGGUAGAUUUUUCUCAGCUUUACCCUCUAACUCUAUUAUUGAGUUUUUUGUUUCUGCUCUUGCUUUUUAACUCCAUGGGCUUAUUUUCUGAACAGUCCCCUCUCCAUACUAAUCAUGAUGAGUCUGCACAGUCUGUGGCUUCUGUGGGUUUGUUCUGGCGCCAGAGGCUUUCCUGGCGACCCCUGGCUAGGAAGCCUGUGGCCCACGCAUCUUUAGCAUUUUCUCCCUGGCGGUCUGAUUCUUUUCCUCUAAUCCCGGCCUGAAAGGAGAGCCUGGCCGUAGCUCAGUGUUCACCUGCCAGGGAACA
rnacentral:lncRNA from 1 species